rnacentral:rRNA from 1 species
AGUGAACGCUGGCGGUAGGCCUAACACAUGCUAGUCGAACGGCAGCACAGUAAGAGCUUGCUCUUACGGGUGGCGAGUGGCGGACGGGUGAGGAAUACAUCGGAAUCUACUUUUUCGUGGGGGAUCACGUAGGGAAACUUACGCUCAUACCGCAUACGACCUACGGGUGAAAGCCUGGGAUCUUCGGACCUUGCGCGAUUGAAUGAGCCGAUGUCGGAUUAGCUAGUUGGCGGGGUAAAGGCACACCAAGGCGACGAACCGUAGCUGGUAUGAGAGGCUGAUCAGCCCAACUGGAACUGAGACACGGUCCGGACUCCUACGGGAUGCAGCGGUGCGGACGAUUGACCAAAGGGCGCAGGCCGAAGCAAGCCAGACCGCGUGGGUGAUGAAGGCCUUCGGGUUGUAAAGGCCUGUUGUUGGGAAAGAAAAGCAGCAGCUUAAUACCCCGCUGUUCUGACGGUACCAGACGAAUAGGCACCGGCUAACUUCGUG